CCUACGGGUGGCAGCAGUGAGGAAUAUUGGUCAAUGGACGAGAGUCUGAACCAGCCAAGUAGCGUGAAGGAUGACUGCACUAUGUGUUGUAAACUUCUUUUAUAUGGGAAUAAAAUGUUCCACGUGUGGGCUUUUGUAUGUACCAUAUGAAUAAGGAUCGGCUAACUCCGUGCCAGCAGCCGCGGUAAUACGGAGGAUCCGAGCGUUAUCCGGAUUUAUUGGGUUUAAAGGGAGCGUAGGUGGGUUGUUAAGUACGCUGUGAAAGCUUGGGGCUCAACCGUAAUAGUGCAGUUGAAACUGGCAGUCUUGAGUAGAGUAGAGGUAGGCGGAAUGCGCGGUGUAGCGGUGAAAUGCUUAGAUAUCGCGAAGAACUCCGAUUGCGAAGGCAGCUCACUGGAC
rnacentral:rRNA from 1 species